rnacentral:rRNA from 1 species
UACAGAGGGGGCAAGCGUUAUUCGGAAUUAUUGGGCGUAAAGGGCGCGUAGGCGGCUUGGCAAGUGGAUGGUGAAAUCCCUCGGCUUAACCGAGGAACUGCCGUCCAAACUGCUUUGCUUGAGUCCGGGAGAGGCGAGUGGAAUUCCCAGUGUAGCGGUGAAAUGCGUAGAUAUUGGGAGGAACACCAGUGGCGAAGGCGGCUCGCUGGACCGGUUCUGACGCUGAUGCGCGAAAGCGUGGGGAGCAAACGGG